UACGUAGGGGGGCUAGCGUUGUCCGGAAUCAUUGGGCGUAAAGCGCGUGUAGGCGGUUCGGUAAGUCUGCUGUGAAAGUCGGGGGGCUCAACCCUCGAAUGCCGGUGGAUACUGUCGGACUAGAGUGCGGAAGAGGCGAGUGGAAUUCCUGGUGUAGCGGUGAAAUGCGCAGAUAUCAGGAGGAACACCAAUUGCGAAGGCAGCUCGCUGGGACGUUACUGACGCUGAGACGCGAAAGCGUGGGGGAGCAAACAGG
rnacentral:rRNA from 1 species